GGGGCUAUUGAUCGUUUUGAGAAGACACGCUUGCAGAUGAGCUCUGAACGGAGGAGUUGGAGCGCGUCAAAAGUUAGAGAGCGUCAAAAGUUGUUUCGAGAUGGUUAAAGAUAUAACCGUGUUUGCUGACGUGCAUAAAGUAUUUGAUGACGACUUUAGUGGAGUUUAUUUAACACAAUCAGACUACGAUCUCGUGGCGGCUGCUACUAGGCUAAAAAACCCACUGAUACAGACUGGUUUGGAGGCAGAACUAUCAGAGCCGCGUGAUUUCAACCAAAUCAUACCCCCCUCCGGCCGACAGGAGGUUGUCACGAGCUCUGCACGUCAUUUUAAAGCAACGAAAACAGCAGAGUUAUCAGAGCUACGUGAUAGCAGUCAAAUCAUACCCCCCUCCGGCCAGCAGGCAGCUGUCACGAGCAUAGAGACGGAAGAGGGAGCAUCCACAGACAUAGAAUUGGCGGACGCUUUAUCUGCUUACGAAGACCUUCCUCAAGAAUCGAUAAACAAAGUCAGAGUUAAGCGUUGUGGAACGGGACUGCUUCAAAGAGCGAGAAAGAGCAGACGUGCAGCCUUCUACUCAACCACUAAGGGGCCUGAAUCGACAAACGAGAGCCAUCACCAUAAGACAAGGCGUGCUAUAAAGUAACCGUCACAACUGCUAAACAUGAUAGCAGAAUUAAACAACCAAUUGUAAACACAAUUACCACUGCACUUUAUGCACGUCAUGUUUUAUAUGAUAACCUCAGUGUAUUAUUAUUAUUAUUAUACUAGUA